rnacentral:rRNA from 1 species
CCUACGGGAGGCUGCAGUAGGGAAUAUUGCUCAAUGGGGGAAACCCUGAAGCAGCCACGCCGCGUGGAGGAUGAAGGUUCUCGGAUUGUUAAAUCUUUUUGUUAGAGAAGAUAAUGACGGUAUCUAACGAAUAAGCACCGGCUAAAUCCGUGCCAGCAGCCGUGGUAAUACGGAGGGUGCAAGCGUUACUCGGAAUCACUGGGCGUAAAGAGCGCGUAGGCGGGAUAGCAAGUCAGAUGUGAAAUCCUAUGGCUUAACCAUAGAACUGCAUUUGAAACUGUUAUGCUAGAGUAUGGGAGAGGUAGGUGGAAUUCUUGGUGUAGGGGUAAAAUCCGUAGAGAUCAAGAGGAAUACUCAUUGCGAAGGCGACCUGCUAGAACAUAACUGACGCUGAUGCGCGAAAGCGUGGGGAGCGAACAGGAUUAGAUACCCCAGUAGUC